GAUGAACGCUAGCGGCAGGCUUAACACAUGCAAGUCGAGGGGUAGGUUACUUCGGUAAUUGAGACCGGCGCACGGGUGCGUAACGCGUAUACAAUCUACCUUUUACAGAGGGAUAGCCCAGAGAAAUUUGGAUUAAUACCUCAUAGUAUUUUUGAAUCGCAUGAUUUGAUUAUUAAAGUUCCAACGGUAAAAGAUGAGUAUGCGUCCCAUUAGCUAGAUGGUAAGGUAACGGCUUAACCAUGGCUACGAUGGGUAGGGGUCCUGAGAGGGAGAUCCCCCACACUGGUACUGAGACACGGACCAGACUCCUACGGGAGCAGCAGUGAGGAUAUGGACAAUGGGCGCAAGCCUGAUCCAGCCAUCG
rnacentral:rRNA from 1 species